GUUCUAGUUCACUCUUCCAAGGAAAUUAAAUCUACAAUUCUCUCCAAGGAAGGAAUGAAAAAUUUUCAAGGAAGGAUGUAGGAAAGUAAAAAAUAAUACAAAGUAUUAGCGGGGAAAAAUUAUCACGCUCUACCAUGCAUGAAGUGACUCUGAAGUUAGUCACACGAACAGAGACUGGUGAUUUUAGUAUCAUAAGCUUAUUGAGUUUAGUACAUCUUGAUUCUCGGUUUCGUUCAUCUUGCAUUCAACUGAUGCUGCUUUCCAUUGUUCUUUGCCACCAAAUCAAUGAGAUUGCAAUAAGUCCACUUUUUCUUUUCUCUAGCAUUAGGGUCAAGAGAGGAGUAUGCUUCUUCACAUCUUCUGAGAAACUGGCCCUUUCCAAAUGCAGUGAGAACCAGAGGAUCCGUUUGCAUUUCCACACAUCUGUAAAGAAGGCCCAUCCUUCUCCAUGUCUCUAAGAUUCCUGUCCCGUGAAAGCCUAAGUCACAUGCAUCAAAUAGAAUUCCCACAGUGACUAUGUCAGGUUCCACAUGAAGGUUCGUUAACUUGGAGAGUAACAUCCUUAAGUGCGUGAAGUCUUUCAUCUUCAAGUAUGCUAGCAAAAUAAUGUUUGCAAAUGUUACAUUCCAAGAAACCUUUG
rnacentral:misc_RNA from 1 species